rnacentral:rRNA from 1 species
UACAGAGGUCUCAAGCGUUGUUCGGAUUCAUUGGGCGUAAAGGGUGCGUAGGCGGCUUGUCACGUCGAUUGUGAAAGCCCGAGGCUUAACCUCGGGUCUGCAGUCGAUACGGGCUAGCUAGAGUGUGGUAGGGGAGAUCGGAAUUCCUGGUGUAGCGGUGAAAUGCGCAGAUAUCGUAAGGAAGACCAGUGGCGAAGGCGGGUCUCUGGACAGUUCCUGACGCUGAGGCACGAAGGUCAGGGGAGCAAACGGG